UACGGGGGGGGCAAGCGUUGUUCGGAAUUACUGGGCGUAAAGGGCUCGUAGGCGGCCAACUAAGUCAGACGUGAAAUCCCUCGGCUUAACCGGGGAACUGCGUCUGAUACUGGAUGGCUUGGAUUCGGGAGAGGAAUGCGGAAUUCCAGGUGUAGCGGUGAAAUGCGUAGAUAUCUGGAGGAACACCGGUGGCGAAGGCGGCAUUCUGGACCGAUAUUGACGCUGAGGAGCGAAAGCGUGGGGAGCGAACAGG
rnacentral:rRNA from 1 species